CCGUACCUACGGGAAGGCAGCAGUAGGGGAAUACUUCGGGCAAUGGGGGCAACCCUGACCGAGCAACGCCGCGUGAGUGAAGAAGGUUUUCGGAUCGUAAAGCUCUGUUGUAAGUCAAGAACGGGUGUGAGAGUGGAAAGUUCACACUGUGACGGUAGCUUACCAGAAAGGGACGGCUAACUACGUGCCAGCAGCCGCGGUAAUACGUAGGUCCCGAGCGUUGUCCGGAUUUAUUGGGCGUAAAGCGAGCGCAGGCGGUUUGAUAAGUCUGAAGUUAAAGGCUGUGGCUCAACCAUAGUUCGCUUUGGAAACUGUCAAACUCGAGUGCAGAAGGGGAGAGUGGAAUUCCAUGUGUAGCGGUGAAAUGCGUAGAUAUAUGGAGGAACACCGGUGGCGAAAGCGGCUCUCUGGUCUGUAACUGACGCUGAGGCUCGAAAGCGUGGGGAGCGAACAGGAUUAGAUACCCUGGUAGUCCACGCCGUAAACGAUGAGUGCUAGGUGUUGGAUCCUUUCCGGGAUUCAGUGCCGCAGCUAACGCAUUAAGCAC
rnacentral:rRNA from 1 species